GACAGAGGGUGCGAACGUUGUUCGGAAUUACUGGGCGUAAAGCGCAUGUAGGCGGCAGCGCAAGUCGGGCGUGAAAUCCCACGGCCCAACCGUGGAAGUGCACUCGAAACUGCGCAGCUAGAGUCCUGGAGAGGAAGGUGGAAUGCUUGGUGUAGAGGUGAAAUUCGUAGAUAUCAAGCGGAACACCGGUGGCGAAGGCGGCCUUCUGGACAGUGACUGACGCUGAGAUGCGAAAGCGUGGGGAGCAAACAGG
rnacentral:rRNA from 1 species